rnacentral:rRNA from 1 species
GACGAACGCUGGCGGCGUGCCUAAUACAUGCAAGUUGAGCGAUGAAGAUUGGUGCUUGCACCAAUUUGAAGAGCAGCGAACGGGUGAGUAACGCGUGGGGAAUCUGCCUUUGAGCGGGGGACAACAUUUGGAAACGAAUGCUAAUACCGCAUAACAACUUUAAACAUAAGUUUUAAGUUUGAAAGAUGCAAUUGCAUCACUCAAAGAUGAUCCCGCGUUGUAUUAGCUAGUUGGUGAGGUAAAGGCUCACCAAGGCGAUGAUACAUAGCCGACCUGAGAGGGUGAUCGGCCACAUUGGGACUGAGACACGGCCCAAACUCCUACGGGAGGCAGCAGUAGGGAAUCUUCGGCAAUGGACGAAAGUCUGACCGUGCAACGCCGCGUGAGUGAAGAAGGUUUUCGGAUCGUAAAACUCUGUUGGUAGAGAAGAACGUUGGUGAGAGUGGAAAGCUCAUCAAGUGACGGUAACUACCCAGAAAGGGACGGCUAACUACGUG